ACAAUUUCCUUAUUUCUAUUUAAAAUAGAAACACAUUAGUAUACAGUGCUUACAUUUAUUAGACCCCCUGUCAUAAUAAAAAGAAAACACAGAUAUUCGACUGUCAAACACUUGUUUAAAACUAAAAUCUUGGUUUCUGUGAAGGCUUGACUUGACCUCAAAGACACCAUGUCAAGGACUUAGUUCAAAUAUAUCAACAUAAUAUCAAUAGUAUUAUUAUAUGAAAGGAGGUAAAGAGUUUUUUUUUUUUUUUUUUUCUUACUAAACUAAACUAAAGCAGUAGGGCGUGAUGGGCCAUCAACACCUGGCCAUGGGCUGCAGGAUGCUGAUUGGUUGUUUGAUCCGGGGCUGUUGGGUGCUGAGAUGCGAUUGGUUGUCUACCGCUUCAUCUGGACAUCAUUGUGAAAAGUUACCAACAGCUAUUUUUCAGUUUUAUCUGGAAAUCAGUCUAUUGCUUGUGACUGUGAAGACUUACAAGAGUUGUUUUCAGUAUCAUCUGGAGAAUUAUCUGUUCUUUGUGACCAGUAACAGCUUGUUUUGGAUAUUCAGCAUUUGAAAUGGCUUCUGAAAGGUAAGUACUUUCUAUCUAUUAUCUGACUACACCGCAUAGAAUGCUUUACUUAUUUAUUUAUUUUUUUUUUUUUCUUGUUUCCAGUCCAAGAAUCUAAAAAAAAUAUUAAACAAAGAAGCAUUUACUAGAUAAGUAAAAAGUAUUGUGUUGUUUUCUGAAGAAAAAAACAAUCAAAAUUAAGUGAGUUUUUGCUUGAAACAAGCUAAAUUAUCUGGACUGGAAACAAGAAGAAAAAAAAACUAAAGAAAAGCAUUUUUAAAGAAACACACACACACACACACACACUGUGUAGCUGUCUUGUUUUUAUUUGUUAAAAGAUCUUACUGUUAAACAAAAUUUGUGCAAAUUCAGUAAUGUCAUUUUGGGGAUAGUUGAGUCGGUGACACAAAGCUUUCAGGCCAGAGUGAAAAGAUACACAUUUGCACCUUGGCACUACAAUUUGUGUUUUAUUUUUAUAUUUUUGUGAUUGUUUUUGAAGAGUUGUGUCUGAUGUCUACAUGAUGCCUACUUGUUAUUUAGCACAUCUAUAUGCAUUAUUAAACCACUGUUGGUCUUCUUAUUGUUCGCACAGCUCUUUCCACAGCAGGAUCUACUUUCUCUGCUCUCACUGCAAGAAGGCUCCACGCUCCCUUCCUGGGCACCUCAGGACGGCGUGCAUGCGCGACCGCACAGAGGCAGAGAUACAGGCCACUGUGAUUGAAGCCAAGAAAGAGAUGUCUGAAUUUACCCACAAGGGACGUUUCUGGGAUUACCAGCGUAUUCGAGACAUCUUGGCAACUGCUGAUCCUCUUGCCAGGUGUGUAAAUUUUUGCUCCUUUGUCAUGUCCUGUUGCAGUGCAAUACUCAGUGUGUGUGUGUGUGUGUGUGUGUGUAUUCACUGUUAUGUAUUUUAUUUCCUUAGGUUGUUAGAGGAGAUGCAGAAGAAGGGCCUGGUUGUAAUGAACAUACCUCCAGUUCUCCCGGCCCCCCCGCUGCCUGCGCCCUCUCCAGCUACAUCUGCUCCUCAAAGCCCUGGAGAAGGUGCGGACGAGCCAGACGAGGAGCCAGACCGCGAGCCAUCGUCUGAGGAGAGCUCUGGAGAGUUCUAUCAGAGGUAAAGUUUCACAUCAUCAUUCUCAGAUAACAUGUGCAGCGAUUGGACAUGAUUUCUCUUGAACAUAUUCACAAUCAUUUGAGCACCUGGUUUAUUUUCUUUCAGCACUGAGGGACCGAGGUGGACCGAUGAAGUCAGGGUGGAGAUGUCAAAAAAGGGCCUGUACAAGAAACACUCCAUCGAUCACCCCCUCCUUCGGGGAUUUAAUCGAUAUUUGCGUGUUGACUUGGGCAACAAAAAGAGCAAACAAGAGGUAAGUGAAAGAAAAGAUACCUUUAAGUGUCACCCACACACUCACGCUUUCACACAGAAAAAUAAAGAAAUAAAUGUGAAGACAAAUGCUCUUCUGAACUGUGUGCUGCGGUCACAUGUUAACCUGUGUUAUAUUCAGCCCUGCAGAUUUUAAUGUGAAAUGUAUACUUACAGGUGGAAGAAGUCUCCAGGUUCAUGUAUUACGUGGACCCCAGUGAGCCGAACCUGAAUUUUGUGCGGGAGGUGGAGAAAGUGCGAGAGUACUUCAAUACACUGACCCAGACAAAGCUCUCGAAGCAGACGGUGCUGAACUACUGGAAGAGUCUCAAGAGGUCAGUACUGUGUAACGUAAACAUCUCAUCUGAAUUUCAACUAAUAUUUAUGGGAUGAUUAUUCGUCUUCUGACUGUAACAACCCUUCCUGUCUCUCUCUUCAAGGUUCAUGAGGUACAUUGUUACCAGCACCAGCAUCCGUGUCAAAGAUCCCAGCCUGUACAACGACUGCAAGAGCUUCACUGAUCCUCUGGAUGGCAUACGGGCUGGGAUGUCUAAGAAGGUCAACAAGGAGCAGACACAAAAAAGGUCAGUUUUUUUUUUUUUUUACUCUUUUUUUUUUUUUUUUUUAUCUAUUUAAUGGAAAGCACAGGUGAGUUCAAGUUCAACAUUACUAUUUUUUUUUUUUCCCUCAGGUUCCGCGGCUACGGCAAGGAAAAAUUUCCGGCUGACUGCAUCACAAUCUUGGAUGCUGCUUAUACGGAUUUCCUGGCUGUCAUGGGCAAACUUCAGGGUCCAGGAGCCAUUUCAGGGGAGGAACUCAGCAAAAACGAACGUCUGCUUGUCCUCUAUUAUCUUGAGGCCAUAAUUAUGCUUAAACUUCUACAACGCCCAGGGGUUGUUACGAAUAUGACCGUAAGUGUAUUUUAGUAACAACAGCAUCUUUUAUUUUCCUUUACCCAUAUGCCUCCUGAUCUUGUGCUUCACAGAUGCGUGUACCUUUUGAGUGUUUGUGACGCCUGUCAUUGAAAGCACACAACUGUCUGUUUUCAGGUUGAGGAAUGGAAGGGGAGAACCCGGCAUCCAAACGGAGCUUCCGUGGCGGUGAAGGAGCAUAAAACGGCCGCGUCGCAAAUAGCAGAAGUACCGCUGACUGAUGACCAAGAACAUUGGUUUGGCCUGUACUUCGAUGAGAUUCGGCCGGUGAUGUUACAAGGUAAUAAGUCAGUGGACAAUGCAGCAGCAGAGCAGAGUUUUUUUGUUUCAAGUACUGGAAGGCCAAUUUAUAACCCCUGCAACGACUUGAAAAGAUUCCAUGCCAAAUACAACAUUCCCAGGGUGACCAGCAGCGACGCUCGGACAGCCUUUGAGACGGCUGCUAAAAAUCUGCCGGAGGUGCAGAGGAAUGCGGUGGCACGUCUCUUGGGACACACGCCGGAAACAGCAGAGAAGCAUUACCGGAUGAAAACUCCGGCAGAUGCAUUCCUGGCCAAGGUUGUGGUCGAUGAGCUCACUGCAAAAACACGAGGUGCGUCUAGUGGGGCUUCUGGCCAAGAGAAAAGGAUGGAUGAACAGACGGCGUUUGACUUGCUGGUUCAGUCCUGCCCAGUGACUCUUGACGGGCCUCCUCCGAAAAGGGCACGCAGACACGAACUGUGCGCUGAACACGAGAGGCACUGCUACGACCGCUGGCGCAGCGAGCAGCUCAAGCUGCGUGAACAGCGUGUCCUUGAAUAUUUCGGUCGGUGUCAGCUGUCUGAGUCACAAGUGGAGGCCUGGGUGGAGAAACAAGGAUGGACGUCUAACGUCCCACAGGCUUCCCUAAUACUCAAGAAAUACUCCAAGUAGCCUUGAACAGCUCCCCUGCGGCUCUGUGGGUUACAAAAAUAAAUGUGAGCGGGCUACUUCCAAGCCACAUUAUUUUUGUGCCUACUUUUCAGCCACAAAACACCACCUCUCUUGCUCUCCAAGUUGCCCUGAAUGACUCUGUCUCUUUUUUUAGUACUUUACUCAAAGAUAUGUGAGCGGGCUAAUUUCCAAGCCACAUAUCUCUUCUCUUUGUCUACUUUUUUGUUUUCAGCCACAAAACACCACCUCUCUUGCUCUCCAAGUUGCCCUGAAUGACUCUGUCUCUUUUUUUAGUACUUUACUCAAAGAUAUGUGAGCGGGCUAAUUUCCAAGCCACAUAUCUCUUCUCUUUGUCUACUUUUUUGUUUUCAGCCACAAAACACCACCUCUCUUGCUCUCCAAGUUGCCCUGAAUGACUCUGUCUCUUUUUUUAGUACUUUACUCAAAGAUAUGUGAGCGGGCUAAUUUCCAAGCCACAUAUCUCUUCUCUUUGUCUACUUUUUUGUUUUCAGCCACAAAACACCACCUCUCUUGCUCUCCAAGUUGCCCUGAAUGACUCUGUCUCUUUUUUUAGUACUUUACUCAAAGAUAUGUGAGCGGGCUAAUUUCCAAGCCACAUAUCUCUUCUCUUUGUCUACUUUUUUGUUUUCAGCCACAAAACACCACCUCUCUUGCUCUCCAAGUUGCCCUGAAUGACUCUGUCUCUUUUUUUAGUACUUUACUCAAAGAUAUGUGAGCGGGCUAAUUUCCAAGCCACAUAUCUCUUCUCUUUGUCUACUUUUUUGUUUUCAGCCACAAAACACCACCUCUCUUGCUCUCCAAGUUGCCCUGAAUGACUCUGUCUCUUUUUUUAGUACUUUACUCAAAGAUAUGUGAGCGGGCUAAUUUCCAAGCCACAUAUCUCUUCUCUUUGUCUACUUUUUUGUUUUCAGCCACAAAACACCACCUCUCUUGCUCUCCAAGUUGCCCUGAAUGACUCUGUCUCUUUUUUUAGUACUUUACUCAAAGAUAUGUGAGCGGGCUAAUUUCCAAGCCACAUAUCUCUUCUCUUUGUCUACUUUUUUGUUUUCAGCCACAAAACACCACCUCUCUUGCUCUCCAAGUUGCCCUGAAUGACUCUGUCUCUUUUUUUAGUACUUUACUCAAAGAUAUGUGAGCGGGCUAAUUUCCAAGCCACAUAUCUCUUCUCUUUGUCUACUUUUUUGUUUUCAGCCACAAAACACCACCUCUCUUGCUCUCCAAGUUGCCCUGAAUGACUCUGUCUCUUUUUUUAGUACUUUACUCAAAGAUAUGUGAGCGGGCUAAUUUCCAAGCCACAUAUCUCUUCUCUUUGUCUACUUUUUUGUUUUCAGCCACAAAACACCACCUCUCUUGCUCUCCAAGUUGCCCUGAAUGACUCUGUCUCUUUUUUUAGUACUUUACUCAAAGAUAUGUGAGCGGGCUAAUUUCCAAGCCACAUAUCUCUUCUCUUUGUCUACUUUUUUGUUUUCAGCCACAAAACACCACCUCUCUUGCUCUCCAAGUUGCCCUGAAUGACUCUGUCUCUUUUUUUAGUACUUUACUCAAAGAUAUGUGAGCGGGCUAAUUUCCAAGCCACAUAUCUCUUCUCCUUGCCUACUUUUUUGUUUUCAGCCACAAAAAAGUAAAAAAAGACCACCAAUACAGAUUUUUUUUUCUUUCAAUAUUCAUAGGCAACUGGAAGUGCACCAGGUAAUGAUACAAAACCUUUAUGCACACUCUCACACACUCACAAACUCACAAAUGCUCCACUAAUCAUUCAAUUCAUUAAGUUGAACUACUGUGAUUUUUUUCUUCAUUGCAGCUACAAAUAACCAAACAUCAGCAGCUCACUCGAGGACCACUACAUGAGGACUCCAGAGAAGAAGAAGAAGAAGACGAAGACGAAGAAGAAGGAGGAGGAGGAUUUGACAGAGGAAGGCGCACGCUGGAUCCAUACGCUGCAUCUCAUUUCGGAGACUGCGUCCUACGGAGGUCGCAUUUGAAGGCUGCAUACGUCAUCAAGGAUGUCUUAUUUAAGAAAAGUAAACGUAAUUAAACAAACUGUUAUUCCUCGUGAGACGUAAAAUACUAUAAUUUCUUUCUUACUUUGCAAUCUAACAGUUAAUUUUUUUUCAAAUGAGACCGCCUCGAUGACAUAUGCAGCCUUCAAAAGUGACCUUCGGAGGACACAGCCUUCAAAACAAGACAGCUAUAAUCAUUAUAUUCUUAUUCUGUACAUACAGAUGCUAUUAUAAUUUUUUGUUCAUGUUUUCAAUCUACGUUUGUCAUUUCUUCUUUUGUUGUUAAUGAUCUGUAUUUGUCAUUAUUCAAGUCUUAUUUGUUGCACUUUAUUAAUCGUGUACCUGUCAUAGGUAUUCAUGUUUAUAUCAGGCAACCAAAAGUUGCAGAGGUCAGAGUGUCAAAAUGCUCAAAGACAAACUAAUUUUGUUAAAACUCUAAUAGAAAGUUGACAUUUUUAUACUUGUAUUGAUUUUUCAUGUU